UUCCGGUUGAUCUUGCCGGACCUGACUGCUAUCGGAUUGAUACUAAGCCAUGCCAGUCAUUGUAGCAAUACAAGGCAGACGGCUCAGUAACGCGUAGUCAAUCUACCCUAUGGACGGGAAUAACCUCGGGAAACUGAGAAUAAUGCCCGAUAGAACAUUAUGCCUGGAAUGGUUUAUGUUUCAAAUGAUUUAUCGCCAUAGGAUGGGACUGCGGCCUAUCAGUUUGUUGGUGAGGUAAUGGCCCACCAAGACUAUUACAGGUACGGGCUCUGAGAGGAGUAGCCCGGAGAUGGGUACUGAGACACGGACCCAGGCCCUAUGGGGCGCAGCGGGCGAGAAAACUUUGCAAUGUGCGAAAGCACGACAAGGUUAAUCCGAGUGGUUUCUGCUAAAGAAACCUUUUGUCAGUCCUAGAAACACUAACGAAUAAGGGGUGGGCAAGUUCUGGUGUCAGCCGCCGCGGUAAAACCAGCACCUCAAGUGGUCAGGAUGAUUAUUGGGCCUAAAGCAUCCGUAGCUCGUUUUGUAAGUUUUCGGUUAAAUCCAUGCGCUUAACGUAUGGGCUGCCGGGAAUACUGCAUAACUAGGAAGUGGGAGAGGUAGACGGUACUCGGGAGGAAGGGGUAAAAUCCUUUGAUCUCUUGAUGACCACCUGUGGCGAAGGCGGUCUACCAGAACACGUUCGACGGUGAGGGAUGAAAGCUGGGGGAGCAAACCGGAUUAGAUACCCGGGUAGUCCCAGCUGUAAACUGUGCAAACUCAGUGAUGCAUUGGCUUAUGGCCAAUGCAGUGCUGCAGGGAAGCCGUUAAGUUUGCCGCCUGGGAAGUACGUACGCAAGUAUGAAACUUAAAGGAAUUGGCGGGGGAGCACCACAA
rnacentral:rRNA from 2 species